rnacentral:lncRNA from 1 species
GUUAAAUAAUUUGUAGCCUAAAAUAACGCCUGUAUUUAUGGCUCCUAAUUAAUCUUUGAUUUUGUACCAAAUAAAUGCUAAUUCAGUUAAGGUAAAAUUAGUAUUUCCAGUGUGUUUUUAAAAUGUAGUCAAAUGUAGGUAAAUGUAGUUAAGGUCAUAUGAAGUGUUUCCAGUGAGUUUUUAAAUGUAGUCAAAUGUAGU